UGGGGAAUUUUGGACAAUGGGGGCAACCCUGAUCCAGCCAUGCCGCGUGUGUGAAGAAGGCCUUCGGGUUGUAAAGCACUUUUGGCGGGAACGAAAAGGCGACUAUGAAUAAUGGUUGCUGCUGACGGUACCCGCAGAAUAAGCACCGGCUAACUACGUGCCAGCAGCCGCGGUAAUACGUAGGGUGCAAGCGUUAAUCGGAAUUAUUGGGCGUAAAGAGCUCGUAGGUGGUUCGUCACGUCGGAUGUGAAAAUCUGGGGCUCAACCCCAGACCUGCACUCGAUACGAGCGAGCUAGAGUUUGGUAGGGGAGACUGGAAUUCCUGGUGUAGCGGUGGAAUGCGCAGAUAUCAGGAGGAACACCAAUGGCGAAGGCAGGUCUCUGGGCCAAUACUGACACUGAGGAGCGAGAGCGUGGGGAGCGAACAGG
rnacentral:rRNA from 1 species